GCAUCGCAAGUCAGGUCGAUUUGCUCCCUAGAAUCCCCCAGGUACGGAAGUAAGCAAGGGUAAUAGGUUGUAGCGAUGCGUUCCUGGCUUGUUU
rnacentral:SRP_RNA from 1 species